GGGGAAUUGUUCGCAAUGGGCGCAAGCCUGACGACGCAACGCCGCGUGGAGGAUGAAGGUCUUCGGAUUGUAAACUCCUGUCGAACGGGACGAACACCUCUUGGGAUAACACCCUGAGAGGCUGACGGUACCCGCAGAAUAAGCCCCGGCUAACUUCGUGCCAGCAGCCGCGGUAAGACGAAGGGGGCAAGCGUUGUUCGGAAUUACUGGGCGUAAAGCGCGUGUAGGUGGUUGUCAUAGUCAGGCGUGAAAGCCUCGAGCUCAACUCGAGAACUGCGCUUGAUACUGGGCAGCUUGAGGACCGGAGAGGAUAGUGGAAUUCCCAGUGUAGUGGUGAAAUACGUAGAGAUUGGGAAGAACACCAGUGGCGAAGGCGGCUAUCUGGACGGUUUCUGACACUAAGACGCGAAAGCGUGGGGAGCAAA
rnacentral:rRNA from 1 species